rnacentral:sRNA from 1 species
CCCUAGCCCAGAUAGUAGUGGAAAUCCUUUUGUGUUCGCUUUUUUUGCGAACACAAAAGAUUGAAGCGAAUAGCUGGAAAUAGC